rnacentral:misc_RNA from 1 species
GAUGAAGAACGUAGCGAAAUGCGAUAAGUAAUGUGAAUUGCAGAACUCAGUGAAUCAUCGAAUCUUUGAACGCAUCUUGCGCUCCUUGGUAUUCUGAGGAGCAUGCCUGUUUGAGUGUCAUUAAAUUCUCAACUACACUGACUUUGAAUUGGUGUGGCUUGGAUUUGGGGGGAAAAUUGUUGUGGGCUUUUUGUAUAGUCUGCUCCCCUGAAAUUGAUUAGCGGUACCUUUGUGGAACUGUCUACAGGUGUGAUAAUUAUCUACAUCUGCUGGAAUGCUGCUUUCUAAACCUUACUUGUAUUGACAAUCUUGACCUCAAAUCAGGUAGGACUACCCGCUGAACUUAAGCAUAUCAAUAAGCGGAGGA